rnacentral:lncRNA from 1 species
ACAUUUUUGACAUAGGUUGGGUGUGGAUUCCUCUUUUGAUUUGGUUAUUUUGUAAAGCAAUUUAAUCAGUGGAUGACCGCCUGUUUCUUGGCUUUUUAGUCUCAACAGGCAAAGAGUUUGGUAAUAUUAAUGUGACUGCAAUAUUUCCUAGCCUAGCUGGAAGUUGCAAUAAAAACACAAUAUGAGAUGCAUGAUUUUCAUCUGCAAUUGAAGGAAGUUGUGUGAGGUUUGCUGAAAGCAAAAGGCUAAGCUUAUGAAGGAAAACCUCCUUUGUUCCCUCUCAGUUUGUUAGUAGACAGUUAGUUGCAGGCAUGGUUCCUUUUUGUGCAAUGCUGGGGUACUCAGUAGCCCAAGUUUGCUGCAAAAGAUCCUUUGAGAAUUUAACUUGUGCUUUUAUUCCCUCUCAGAAAGACAUCAUUAAAGGCCCAUCUGGAAAUAAAAUCUGGCCCUAAAAGUUGAGCCUUUGUACUUUCACUCUUCAGAGAGGUUUAACCCUUGUGGUAGUCUGUAGUGGUGUAUGCGUUGAGUUAUGUAACUUUUGUCAGUGUAGUGUAAUGGGAGUGACCGUUUUACUAACAUAACUAUUUUCUAUGUGUGUUUCAGUGGAUGACAAUCGAGCAGCAGAAAAAUGGUGUGCCUACCCUUUAAUGCUGCAGUUUAAAUAAGAGAACUUGUAUUGUGUCAUUUCAGACUGUAGGCUGAGCUGUAAAUAGUGAAAAUUGAGUACUUCUAUUAUUUGUUUUGGUUAGAAAGUGAAUUUUAAAAACAAACCAAACUCUAAACUUCUCAGAUAUAAAGUCCUGAGACCUGAAGAUUGUAAUAUUCAUGUCUGUGAAGCUUUUAACAUUACACUUGAGAUCAGUCAUGACUUGAUAUUCAGGUAAAUUUUCUUUUCCAAGAAGCUUUUGAUAAGCAUAUUUUCUCCAAAGGUUGGUUGGUUGGCUGGUUUCUCUCUUUCUUUCUCUCUCUCUCUUCUUUCUUUUGCUAUUGUGUUAUUUUGUUUGAGUAUAGAUUGUUUUAAAGCACUAAUUGCAUUACAUUGGUAACUGCAAUAUAAAAUAGCCAUUAUUGUUUUGUGAAGCAUGGUUGAAAUUAGAUAGUGGCCCCUUUUAAAAUUCAUGAGCCUCUC